rnacentral:rRNA from 1 species
GAUGAACGCUAGCUACAGGCUUAACACAUGCAAGUCGCGGGGCAGCAUGGGGGUUGCUUGCAAUCCCCGAUGGCGACCGGCGCACGGGUGAGUAACGCGUAUCCAACCUGCCCUUCACCACGGGAUAACCCGGCGAAAGUCGGACUAAUACCGUAUGUUGUCCAUUGACGGCAUCCGAUUUGGACGAAAGGUUUGGCGGUGAAGGAUGGGGAUGCGUCCGAUUAGCUGGACGGCGGGGUGACGGCCCACCGUGGCGCCGAUCGGGAGGGGUUCUGAGAGGAAGGUCCCCCACACUGGAACUGAGACACGGUCCAGACUCCUACGGGAGGCAGCAGUGAGGAAUAUUGGUCAAUGGGCGUAAGCCUGAACCAGCCAAGUAGCGUGCAGGAUGACGGCCCUAUGGGUUGUAAACUGCUUUUAUGCGGGGAUAAAGUGGCCAACGAGUGGGUUUUUGCAGGUACCGCAUGAAUAAGGACCGGCUAAUUCCGUG